rnacentral:rRNA from 1 species
UACGUAGGGCGCAAGCGUUAUCCGGAAUACUGGGCGUAAAGCGUGCGCAGGCGGUCUUUUUAAGUCAGAUGUGAAAAUCCCCCGGGCUUUAACCUGGGAACUGCGUUUGAAACUGGAAAGGCUAGAGUGUGGCAGAGGGGGGGGUGGAAUCCACGUGUAGCAGUGAAAUGCGUAGAUAAUUCGGAAGAACACCAGCGGCGAAAGGCAGCCGGG